UACGUAGGGGGCAAGCGUUGUCCGGAAUCAUUGGGCGUAAAGAGCGUGUAGGCGGUCCGGUAAGUCCGCUGUGAAAGUCGGGGGCUCAACCCUCGAAUGCCGGUGGAUACUGUCGGGCUAGAGUACGGAAGAGGCGAGUGGAAUUCCUGGUGUAGCGGUGAAAUGCGCAGAUAUCAGGAGGAACACCUAUUGCGAAGGCAGCUCGCUGGGACGUAACUGACGCUGAGACGCGAAAGCGUGGGGAGCAAACAGG
rnacentral:rRNA from 1 species